ACCUCUAUUCAUUUUGCCCAAAACUCUCUCCCUGUCUCUAUAUGAAAUUUCCAAACCCUAAUCUCCAAAAAUUAGAAAUGAAAGUUUGAUCGGGAGGUAUAAACCUUAACUUUCAUAGUCUCCGCAAAAUCAUUUUCUUGGUUUCUUCUUUUAUCACUAUAAACCCUAACUUUCAAUCGGUAAAGAAGAAAUUGGAAGCUGAAUUGGAAAAAUGUCAAGGAUUCCGGAAGAGAUCAUCUACAAUGAAAUUCUAUUGAGGUUACCAGUUAAACCAUUACUUAAAUUUAAGUGUGUUUGCAAGAAAUGGAGGAUGGUCAUGAAAUAGGAACAUGAACGUAAUAACAAGGGUGGAUUUGCAAGGAGUUUUCUCCAGCAGGCUCUAGUUACAGGGAAAGUUUUGGUUUAGAUGUUGGCAGCUGACAGCAUUCUAAAUUUACGAGUUGUUUUUCUUUCCCAAUUAGGGAUGAGGAGAUUGAAGAAGAUAGAGCUAAUUAUCAGCUUGAAAUGAUGAGAUCUUGAGAGAGGUUAAUUCCGACAACAGCAUUGUUGGGUGGAAAACAUUAAACGAUGUGUUUGUCAUAUAUGAUCCAGCAAUGUCCAAUCAAGGCGUUUUAGCUCUCAAGGCUAUGAAGCUCACAUAUUCUUUCAUGGAACGUCUAUCCAGUGUGACUAUGACCUUCUGCAAUUAUCGACCAAACAAUUUAGGUAAUGAAAUGUGGAGUUUCUGAUUGAAUGCAUGGACAGGGCCUGUCAAUGGAGCAGCAGAAAAAUGGAAAGAUUUUUCUGAAUCCACCCCACAAUUAGCUUUCCUUCUAGUAAAAGUGGCUCUCCCCCUAACAAAUAUCUUUAUGAAUUCAUUGUUUUCAUACACGAUACUGGUAUAACAUACUGUCUUUUGUUUUUCCUUUACUUCCGAUAUUGGUAUAACAUACUGAAGCCUUUCAUGUCAGCAAGCGCAACAGCACACAUGGCUUCAAUAGAGAAGGGACGAGAACAUUCUGCAACCUGGGUUUUUUGAACUGCUAUGUUGAAUUUUCCAGGGGUACUUGUGUCCAGAGCUUCAGCAGACAUUAUAUCUCAUGAAGGGGCACUGCAAGAAAUUGAGUUGGGAACUGCAGAGGUUGAGACAGACAAAAACCUUCUUUUCCUUUCAAAAUGUAGUCGCAGUAGGGUGAAGUUAGACGGUUGAGGUUCUUCUAUGGCUGUGCCUCUAUGGGUUUCUUGCUACAUGUUUUUGACUCUUCUUCCUUGCAUUUAUGGCCAUUUUACUUCGGUUUUUUGGUGGUUCAAGUACUCGUCGGAGCUCGGGUCACAGAAAUCUGGAAUCAUCGGUUGAUAGAAGAAAAUGAUGGUGAUAUGAAGUUUUUAUGUCUUUGGAACCCAGCCACCAGAGAGUAUAAGAAAAUACCGGAACAACCGAUUGGAAAUAAUGGAAUGUCUGCAAUAAUAUGCUUUGGGUUAUGAUCACAAGACUGAUGAUUACAAGUUGGCAGUAGGUGUAACAGCUCCUCGAAGCAAGGAUAUAGUAUCCCAAUUCUAUUCGUUAGCAUCAAAUUCAUGGAAACCUGGGCCAACUAUGCCUUAUGUGUUUCGUUAUUGUGUGCAGAGGCAUGGAGUGCUUGUUAAUGGAUACCAUCAUUGGUUAGUGAAGGCUCAAUGUAAGUUCUUACUCUCUUUGGAUAUCACUGACGAGAGUUUCAAAGAGAUGCAACUACCGAAAGAACUUUCGGAGAGUCAGGAGGAUUUUAAUUUUAUGAUUCUGGGAUUGUUGGAAGGGUGCCUUUGCAUAUUUGACAGGUCAUAUGCUAAUGGUGUUCAGAUUAAUGUUGAAGUAUGGGAGAUGCUGGAUUAUGGAGUUCAUGAGUCUUGGACUCGACGCUAUAUCAUUACUAAUGAGAGCAUUAUCAAGGGCCAUAUUUUAGAUUUAGUUGCCUUGUGGUCUUUUGAGAAUGGUAAAAUUCUAUUCUUGAAUUCCGGUAUACUAGUUUUGUACGACCCAGAAAAUGGAAGUGCUAGAAAACUAAAUAACGAUGAGAGUUUCAACAGGACUACUGGGAAUUACUUUGAAAGCUUAGUUUCUCUCGAGUCUGGUACUUAUGUUGGGGGAGAAGAGCAAAUAGAUGAAUUAGAGAAACCUGAAGAAGAAGAAUAAGUUAUAGAAGGAAGAAAAAUUGGUGAAGUUGUAUAUGUUAUUGUUCUUGCUGUUGCAUAUUCCUGCAGUUGUUGGUAAUGAGUUAUGAAAUUAGUAAUAUGCUUUCUUCUAAUUUGUAGACCCUUACCUUAAUAUAUAUCAUGGGUUUCUCUUAAAAUCAUUAAU